CAAGCAGUGGGAGCCGACUUGUUCGGUGACUGCGUACCUUUUGUAUAAUGGGUCAGCGACUUACAUUCAGUAGCAAGGUUAACCGCAUAGGGGAGCCGUAGAGAAAUCGAGUCUUAAUAGGGCGUUUAGUUGCUGGGUGUAGACCCGAAACCGGGUGAUCUAUCCAUGAGCAGGUUGAAGGUUGGGUAACACUAACUGGAGGACCGAACCCACUGUCUUUGAAAAGCCAGGGGAUGACUUGUGGAUAGGGGUGAAAGGCUAAUCAAACUCGGUGAUAGCUGGUUCUCCCCGAAAGCUAUUUAGGUAGCGCCUCGGACGAAUACCAUUGGGGGUAGAGCACUGUUUCGGCUAGGGGGUCAUCCCGACUUACCAAACCGAUGCAAACUCCGAAUACCUACAAGUGCCGAGCAUGGGAGACACACGGCGGGUGCUAACGUCCGUCGUGAAAAGGGAAACAACCCAGACCGUCAGCUAAGGUCCCAAAGUUAUGGUUAAGUGGGAAACGAUGUGGGAAGGCUUAGACAGCUAGGAGGUUGGCUUAGAAGCAGCCAUCCUUUAAAGAAAGCGUAAUAGCUCACUGAUCGAGUCGUCCUGCGCGGAAGAUGUAACGGGGCUAAGC
rnacentral:rRNA from 1 species